CCUCGAAGGGAGGGCUAGACGGACAGCGAAGGUUAUUCAUUUACAGAUAUAUUGAGAGAAGAACGUUAUAUGGAGGGAGAUAUAAUCAAGGCACCUCACAUAUAAGCUGUACCUCGUUGUGUGCGGAGAGACUAGUCCACUGCUGGUAGUGGUAGUCUCAACAAACAUGAAGACAGGGUAGGCAGCCAUGUUUGCAGCAAAAAUCUGGUCACAUGGAAUAAGCAUGUAAAGGUUGAGUGAGAUGUCACAGAUGAUGUCUAGUCUCACUCUUCAUUCUGUAAAACCCCAGUCAUGUUUAGCAAUGAGACCUGAAAGACUGGCCAGGAGUUGAAGCAUUUGUAGUUUUAAAUAACUAGUAAGUCCUGGUACCAGACCUGUUAUUAUGUGAAGAUUGGACAAGAUGUCGGUUCCACGGGUGCCGAUAACACUCCUUAUCUGUGACCUGUUCUCCUCGGCAGUCUGUGCUGCCACGAUAUCGUAUCCCCCCCUUUUUGCAGUGAAAAGGUGAUUGCUGUUUCAAGUCAUGGCAUUUGCUGCCAUCCAAAUUAUAGAAGACCUAUUGAGACUUGUGAACUGCAGGUUUUUAUCAGUGUUUUCCGAAUGGAAUUCAGGUGAAACAAUAACAACAUAUUUUCCUCAACAAGUACACAUCACUUUGAGAGCAUUACGGGAAGUUUAAAUGCAUAGUCCAAGAGUUACUGCAUAAACUUCACCAUGGGGGUCAACAUCCGAGUUCACAGACACUAAUAACGAGUAUGGCCACCAUUAGUUUCAAGCAGAGCAGCACAUCGAUGACGCAUGGACAUCACUAGGUUGUCAAUAAUGGCCUGAGGGACAUUAUCCCAUUCCUCCUGGAGUGUUAUUCACAGUUGGCGGACAUUCUCGGGAGCUGGAACAUGACGGCGUACAUGCUGAUCCAGAACAUCCCAAAGGUGUUCGAUGGGCAACAUAUCAGGCGAAUACGUCGGCCAGUUGAGGACAGGAAUAUUCAUUUCCUCCAAGAAGUCCCUGCAUAUUCUUGCCAUGUGUGGACGGGCAUUAUCAUGUUGAAAGGUAACAUGAUGGGAGUGCCACAAAUGGUGCAAUGAUGGGUUGCAAUAUCUCAUCUCUGUAUCGUUGGCCAUUCAAGUUGCCAACAAUAAAAUGCAAACGUGUGCGCUGUCCAUAGCAAAUGCCGGCCCAUACCAUUACACUACCUCCACCAUGAGCCACCCGUCGAAGGACAUUAGCGUUGGCAAAACACACACCAACACGGCGCCAAACACAGCGUCUGCCAUCAGCGUGGUGCAGCUGGAACCGGGAUUCAUCACUGAAGAGCACUGUCCUCCACCGUGCAAGUGUCCAGCGCACAUGAACAUUGGCCCAAUUCAAUCGGGUCUGAUGUCGGACCGCCGUGAGGUCGAGGCCCCCGGUGUGGACGACGUGCUUGAAGUCCAGCCUCCCGCAGACGGUUCCUUACUGUCUGGGCUGAAAUACGCCUGUUUUGACGACCAACAGUCUCAUCAACAGUCCUGGUUGCUGGUGAUUGAGUUCCUGUACUCAACUUUUUGGUAAUAUAGUGAUUGGCCGGUCAAAGGGCAACUUGGGUCUUAAAGUUUUCCUCUGCGUGUGUUCCCAUAUUCUGCUGCAUAUUGGUGACGUAGAUGAUUCCCUUCCAUGCAUUUUAAAGAUUUAUAGUACUGUUGGUUGAUAGCAUUACUGGAAUUGUAGUCCAAUUUGAAAAAAAAUAAUUAAAAUUCUUUUCUUAAAAUUUAUUGUCUAUGGUUACUCUAGGUCUGGCAAGUCUUCCUCCUCUGAUGUGCAUGUUUGGCAUAGGUUAGCACUGGGCAAGAUGCUACUCCACAGCCCAGCAGCCUCUGAGUCCCUGUUGUCCGAGUCGUUGUCUCUAUUUGGGUGUCAGUUGGGUGUUACAGGGGUCGUGGCAGUAGUGUCCACUUACCACAGCAUGGGCUCUUUCUUUCUCUCUCGCUUAUUCUCUCCCAGCUUCUUUCUCUACUGUUUUUCUUUGUCUUCUACCUGGUGAUUGCUGAAAUGGCACUUCCCUGUUAUUUGUACAAUUAGUCCGCUGGGGCCUUGUAGUACUUUGUUCGUUAAUUGAGUCAGCUGGCCCAAUUUUUUUGCUGCAUUUUGACAAACAAAUUAUUUACCUCUGGCAGAUCUGCAGUAAUAUGUCUUACUGCAAAGAUCAACGAUACCGUCACCAAUCCACUCUGCUUAAAAUAAUCUGGGGUACAUUUUCAGGCGUAUCAGUGCGCAGAAACCAUAGAUGUUUUUCUGCUUUGUACUGCUUCCUCAUGUGAGGUUUAAUUAAGUAUUUUAAGCUAAUUGCCGAAAAAGAUAACCAAGAAUUAACAAACAUCCGUAUAUUGUGCCAAAAUAUGCACAGGUACCAGCAUCUGGAUUUCAUUUUGUAGGAAUGCUUAGCCACAAUGCAAUCAUGAAGGUCUACUCCUAUGUUUUCAUUGUAUGACUUCAUUACUGCAGGGCGUUGAACACCUACAUGCGAUUUCUGCGCUUUGUCAUAUCUUCUGACGCUGUUCAUCAGAUGAACAACAUGCAACGUGGAUAGAAUGAUGACAGCCCUGUGCCUUGAGGACAUCUUGGUCUAAAGUAGACUAGAAGCUCUUGCCUUGAGAAGUUUGUUCCUGAUGGGAGGGCAUCAGGUACUGAGCCUCGCCUGGGAGGGUGGGGCCAGGUGUAGGAGGUUUGCAGGAAAGCAUUGUAAGUAUAUUAUGCUGAAAACCUGGAAGGCACAUUGCCAAUGAUAUGGCAAUAUAGGGGGAUUUCGUUUCUCUGCUAGGGGCAUGGUAAAUGAUACCUGCCCAUCAUCGUUGACCUUUGGCUGGGGUAUUACAGAAAGGUGGGAGGAAGUAGGGAUUUCAUGGGUAUUUUCUUUAGCCUAGAUCUGCAAGCCCUAUAAUUAUUACAAGGACAGUAAAUGUCUUGCCUUCAAUUAAUUACUUCUUACUCUUCACAGAUUUUCUGGUGUUUGCUGUGGUAAAACGCCCAAUCUCUGGCUGUUCAUUUUGCUUCAGCAGAUCACUGCAUUGCAAAAGAGAAUGGAAAGGGGGCCAAAGGCAUAUAUUAUAUAUUCAACAUUUGCAUGCAGUGCUCAGCAAGGUUUUUGCCAGGUUUCACAUUUUUUCAGGCUAGCAUCUGUAUGACGCAUUGUUGUAAUUAAGACCUUCUCUUUACUUACGUGAACAAUAUGAGGAUUCUUUUCAGUCUUUUCCAUAAAAGAAAUUUCACAUAACGACUGAACUUCUUUUGGUUUAUUCUGGAAAAAAAGGAAUAUCCAUGUUUAGAAAGAAAUGUCAGCAACAGUAAAAUUUAAGAGUUUCCAUAACAGUAAAUUGAUGUUAUUCCUAAGAAUGGACAGAUUGAUUCUUAAUUCUGUCCAAUAAGAGUAGGAUUUCAUCAUAUUUGCUGCACCCACUGCACUGUCUGCGUAAUGACGUAUCAAUUUCAGUUGUUUUUGUUCUUUAAUUUAAUCCAGGCAUGUUCUUUUCAAUUCUCACGCCCCUUGCUCGAUUUUUUUCUCUCUUGUCACUAUGUUAUUUGAAUUAAUAUACUCUAAGGUUUACAAUUGGUUCCCAAGUAUUUCUGCUAUAAGGGAACGCCUUCCACUUAAAAAGGUACUUGUCUCUUGCUGGAGGUGCUGGGCCACCCCUGUUCAUUCCUUUGGUUGCUGGGAGAUUUCCCAUACCUAUGGCUUCGCGCAUUCUUUAUCAGGACACACUGCACGCCAAGCUGGGGCUAGUACUGAAUUGUCAGUACUGCUCUCAGUUCUUACUACCUCGGGACAUAUCCAACCCAUUUGUCUAAUUGUGUCUAAGAAAUAUUUACAUAUGAUUGAACUCUUAUGGUUUGUGUGGUUAUGCUUUAACCAAAUAAUUCUCCUGGAAAACCCAUCAAUGCAACCAUAUACUUCAAAAUCAUGGCAUCGUUUCUGUCAGCUAUCUUUUUAUGCCAAGUAUCUGGCACUGGAGCAGGUAACCUUUAAAGAAAAAAAAUUGUGAUGAUGUACCAAAGAAAUGGUAUUACUCUGUUCUUGCUUCUGUAGAUGACCAUCUUAUUUGCCAACAAGGAGUCAGCAACACCAGUUUCUGCCAGUGAUUUUGAGUUUUCUGUUCUGUCUCUGUACUGCUGCCCUUAGCCACUGCUACUAUUUCUACUCUUAGGAUAAAUAGGUGUCUCAUGGAUGCCCUCUUCAAUUCCUGCAACAAAAUCAUUAUGGUGUUCUAGCUGAAUUUGCAGUGUGUGUGUCCCUUCUUUUUAUAUGGCAGUAUGCUGUGAAAAGUUUUUCGCCUUCUAGUUGUCUAACAAAUGGUUACUUCUUUUGCAUAAUACUUACCUGUAAAAGCUAAUUGAUUCUUUUUGAUUUAUCUCUCUUCCAGUGUUUUUCUGUCUUUGAUUUCACAUUCUCCCAAGUAACUUGUGCCCUUUCUCUUAUGUUUUGUGUGGAUCCUCCAAAAGAGACUUCAAUAGUAAACAGUAAGUCACGGAUAAUCCAUCACAUUCAUACAUUGAACGAAAAAAUUAAUUCUUAUGCCCUUUACAAGUUCCCCAUCUUCAGUAUAAGAAAAAGUUUAUUCUGCAUAUUACUACUAUUUAUUCUUAGCUAUGUAGUCACCUUAAAAAGUCUUCUUCAGUGUAUACACUUACAAAGAAGUAUUCUCAUAUAUAAUACAAGGUAGUACAGCUAUAAAACAAGCAUACUCUUUGCUUGACCAAGCCCUGCACUUUAAGAUAUCUUUGGAAAUUAUAUUCCAUGCACUGUGUAAGUUGGUCGAAGCACAAACAAUUACUAGGCUGUCUGAUUUUCUGCUGUCUAACAAAGCCAUGUUGCCAUAGAAACAGCGACGUGCAGUGAACUGCGUGUGAUAAUGUGCCAGAGCUAUGUGUCAAUCAAUUUUAAUUAAAAAAGUUAUCGCAUGUAUAAUAAAAACUGACCAUAGUUGUCAGUAUCUUAUGUAUCCUCCCUCUACUUGGAUACAUUCUUAGCACUUUCUACUCUGUCGUGGUACGCAAAUUUAUGAAUAACCAUCAUAGCUUUAAUUGUGGGACUGGGCCCGUAUCUGUCUAAGAGUGACCUUUGCACAGUUUGAAAGUUAGAUUUGUCCAUUAAGAUUAAAAAGAUGAAUCGUUAGAGCUAGAUGCAGAGGGUGCUGGUCUGUUGGGUCAAUGAGGUGGUGGUAUUGUGGUGUUGGUGGCCCAGGUAUCCUGGAUGGUGUUGUACGCCCAUAGUGGCAACGGGAGGCGUCUGUAUUUUGGAGUUAGAUCAGCCAUAGUGAGGAAUGCUAUUUGAGGACACUUACUCAUUCCAUUUCCAGUCAGAUGGGGAUUGGGGACUGGGUCACCAAGGAGGAUGAUAACCCUCUGGCUCUGGUAGGUUGGUGCUCCUGUUUGGUUGAACAAUAUGGCCAGGAAGAAGCAGACCUCACCAGGGUAUCUGCCUGAUGGCUGAAUGCCUUGGGAGUGGCGAAAUCGAAGUUGGCGAUCAGUGCCUGGUUGCACAGGAGCUUGGGCAGGGCUUUCAGGUUAUGUUGUCAUCUUGGUAGUUGUGGAUUUUAUUUUAUCUAAUUGGGUGCUCAGGGCGUUCAGUGUCACCAUGGCUGAAGAGGGCUGAAUUGGGUCUCAGCUUGGCAGGCAUGCUGGACGAGGUGCUCAAAUGUCUGCAGAGCAUGUUAAGCUACAAAUGGCCUGAUUUCAGGUAAAACCCCAUGCAGGAUUGCCUGAAUGGUAUGUUCAGUAUGGAGCUGGACUUUCGUGGCCUCGCAUCUCAUUUCAGCAAUGUAGCCUUGAAUUGGCUGGUCUGGUUUCGGAGUCUUGUGAAAUAAUUUCGAGACCAUAACCCAUCUGGGGUUCUCCGUUGGUUUAAAGCUCUCCUUAAGGAGUCUAUGGUGCCUUUUUGUUGAUCUGACAGCCUGUCAAACCAAUCCUGGGCCACAUUUCUAAGCAACAGUGAGUAGGAAGCAAGUUGCUGCGCCUCAUUCAUGUUUCAGAUCAAUUUUCAGAUGCCACAGCCACCUGCCUGGGUCUUCUUGAGGGGUUCCAUUGACCUUACCUGACAAAAGGAACUACGCGGUAUAGCUUUAAUUGAGGGGUUUUCACUUUAAACCUUAUGUUAGCCCAUGACAGUAGCCUUUCCUUGUGAUUUUGGUGCUCUUUGAAUGCAUGGCAUAAUAACUUCUUAACAUUGCCCUAUACCCUUAUACAAUGUUAUUGUAUGCUGACAAACAGUGAUGUCGGGUGCCUUGCAUGUAUUGCUUUGUGCGCUGUUGAUGUGGACAUAUUUUUGGUGUUGCUUUGUACCUUACAGUGUCAUUAUUUAUCUAUGACAGUUAAGACAACUUGUGUGUAUUUUAAACAAUAGUGUUUCUUCACACAAUAUUUUCUUGGCCAGUAUAGGUGAUCUUUCCAUUGAGAAUUUUUCAUCACUUUAUGCUCUCAGAAAUAUAUACACCUAUCAGAAUUGUGACCAAGCUGUCUAUACAGCAAACAUUUUGCAUUCUAUUUGUUAACCUGCAGGUAGUUUCAUUGGCUAUAAUUAUAUUUUAUAUCUUUUAAUUCAACUGACUUAAGUUCCACAUAUAAUGUUAUGAUGCAACUGACAAUAGUUAUACAUUUAACAUUAUUUUACAGUAAGACAUAGUUAUGUGUUGUGAAAUCGAUCUAAAAUCUGGGAAGUUUGUAUAUAUUUAACAUUAUUUUACAGUAGGACAUAGUUAUGUGUUGUGAAAUCGAUCUAAAAUCUGGGAAGUUUGUAUAUAUUUAACAUUAUUUUACAGUAGGACAUAGUUAUGUGUUGUGAAAUCGAUCUAUAAUCUGGGAAGUUUGUAUCUACCUCUUGUCAUCAAAGAUAUAGUAAGAUAACUGCUCAAAGUAUUGAAGAUAGAUAGAGCAUUAAUGUUUUAAAAGUAAAUUCAAUUUAAAAAAAUAUUUGCAAGUGAAAGAAUUCUGUGUAAAGAUUACAUUAAUAAAAUUGG
rnacentral:lncRNA from 1 species